rnacentral:rRNA from 1 species
UACGUAGGGGGCAAGCGUUGUCCGGAAUUAUUGGGCGUAAAGAGCGUGUAGGCGGCCAGGUAGGUCUGCUGUGAAAACUCGAGGCUUAACCUCGAGCUGUCGGCGGAAACCAUCUGGCUAGAGUCCGGAAGAGGAGAAUGGAAUUCCUGGUGUAGCGGUGAAAUGCGCAGAUAUCAGGAAGAACACCCGUGGCGAAGGCGGUUCUCUGGGACGGUACUGACGCUGAGACGCGAAAGCGUGGGGAGCGAACAGG